GGACGGCCCCGACUUCCUCUCAGAGGAGGACCACGGACUUAAAGCAAUAAAUGUAGAUCUUCAAAGCGAUGCUGCUCUACAGGUGGACAUUUCUGAUGCUCUUAGUAAGAGAGAGAAAGUAAAAUUCACUGUUCACACAAAGAGUUCAUUGCCAAAUUUUUUAAAAAAUGAGUUUUCUGUUGUUCGACAACACGAGGAACUUAUCUGGCUUCAUGAUUCCUUCAUAGAAAGUGAAGACUAUGCAGGUUACAUUAUCCCUCCAAGCACCACCAAGACCUGAUUUUGAUGCCUCAAGGGAAAAACUACAGACACUUGGAGAAGAAGGGUCUAUGACAAAGGAAGAAUUCACAAAGAUGAAACAGGAGCUGGAAGCUGAGUACUUGGCAAUGUUCAAGAAGACCGUUGCAGCGCAUGAAGUGUUCCUGUGUUGUGUGGCAGCACAUCCCAUUUUGAGGAAAGAUUUAAAUUUCUAUGUCUUCCUGGAAUAUAAUCAAGAUUUGACUGUGCGAGGAAAAAAUAAAAAAGAGAAACUUGAAGAUUUCUUUAAAAAUGUGGUUAAAUCAGCAGAUGAAGUAGUUGUUUCUUGCGUAAAGGAUGUAGAUGAUUUCUUUGAGCACGAACGAACAUUCCUUUUAGAAUAUCAUAACCGAGUUAAGGAUGCAUCUGCUAAAUCUGAUAGGAUGAUGAGAUCCCACAAAAGUGCUGCAGAUGAUUACAAUAGAAUUGGUUCUUCAUUACAUGCUUUAGGAACUCAGAAUUCUGCACAUAUAUGCAAGUUUUUCUUAAAGGUUCAGAACUGUUUGAUAAAACAAGAAAAAGUGUCAGCUGAUGAGGACCUCAAACUUUCUGACCUUUUAAAAUAUUACUUAAGAAGAAUCUCAAGCUGCUAAGGAUCUCCUCUAUCAAAGAUCUAGGUCACUACUGGAUUAUGAAAAUGGUAAUAAAGCACUGGAUAAAGCAAGAGUGAAAAAUAAAGAUGUUCUGUAGGAUGAAACGUCCCAACAAUUAUGCUGUCAGAAAUUUGAAAAAAUAUCUGUAUCUGCAAGACAAGAAUGUAGAGAUUUUAAGACAAGAAGAGUUGCUGCAUUCAGAAAAAAAUUAGUGGAACUGGCAGAGUUAGAACUGAAGCAUGCAAAGGUAGUGUCAUAUUAAAGAUUUAAUAAUUUAAGUGACAUAAUUUAGUAAUGAGUCAGUUAUGAAACCUUAUUCUAGUUUUAAAAAUAGAGAAUCUUAGAAAUGAGAGGGAUUUUAAAGAUCAUCUAAUUUAAACAAGAAUAAUAUCUGUAAUAGAUCUAAUGGUCAGCUUUGCAAGACUCUAGUACCUAAUAUGGAAAAACAGUAUCAUUUUUUGACUAGUUGUUAAAAAAAAUAAAUCUUCCUUAAAAAAAAAACAAACUGACUCAACAAAUAUGCUUUGAGUGCCUGCUUACUAUUUACCAGACAUUGUGCUAAAUGCAGGCCUUAAAAAUAUAAACAAGUAGAAUCCUCUGUCCUGGAGGUCAUAAUUUUGCAGGGAAAGAGAACAGCUACCAAGCAAUGUGGUUGCUGCUAUAACAGAACCAGAACCAGAGGAGAGAACAUCCACCUGUCAGGUUAGUGGUAUAUAUAGGAGU